rnacentral:siRNA from 1 species
ACUAGACUUUUGGACUACGGUGUG